UACGGAGGGGGCUAGCGUUGUUCGGAAUUACUGGGCGUAAAGCGCACGUAGGCGGCUUUACAAGUCAGGGGUGAAAGCCCGGAGCUCAACUCCGGAAUUGCCCUUGAGACUGUAUCGCUUGAACACGGGAGAGGUGAGUGGAAUUCCGAGUGUAGAGGUGAAAUUCGUAGAUAUUCGGAGGAACACCAGUGGCGAAGGCGGCUCACUGGACCAUUACUGACGCUGAGGUGCGAAAGCGUGGGGAGCAAACAGG
rnacentral:rRNA from 1 species